GGGACGCAGGAGGCUAGCAGCGCGUGGUGCUGGAUACCACGUUCAAGCGUCAAGUCUGAGAGCGAGUCAAAUGCUUGCUCUCAUAAGGACAAGGCGUGAUGAGGAGCGAAAUUAAAGUAGCGAAAACUCUCGUUAAGGAACUCGGCAAAAUGGCCCCGUAACUUCGGGAGAAGGGGCGCUGGUCGCAAGAUCAGCCGCAGUGAAAAGGCCCAAGCAACUGUUUAUCAAAAACACAGGCAUCUGCAAAAUCGUAAGAUGAAGUAUAGGUGCUGACACCUGCCCGGUGCUGGAAGGUUAAGAGGAGAGCUUAGCGCAAGCGAAGGUUUGAAUUGAAGCCCCAGUAAACGGCGGCCGUAACUAUAACGGUCCUAAGGUAGCGAAAUUCCUUGUCGGGUAAGUUCCGACCUGCACGAAAGGUGUAAUGAUUUGGGCACUGUCUCAACGAGAGACUCGGUGAAAUUAUAAUACCCGUGAAGAUGCGGGUUACCCGCGACAGGACGGAAAGACCCCAUGGAGCUUUACUGCAGUUUAAUAUUGGGUAUCUGUCAAGCAUGUACAGGAUAGGUAGGAGCCGGAGAAGAUAGGACGCCAGUCUUAUCUGAGGCGCUGUUGGGAUACUACCCUU
rnacentral:rRNA from 1 species